UAUCUUUAGCAAAGUGUAUAGUGCACAGUAAGUGCUUAACAAAACCACAAUUAUUGGGAUUAUUAUCGGGUGAACUUGUGCUAGGGGUAGGCGAGCCCAGUUGGACGGUUCAGGAGCAAAAAAAGAAUUCUCUCAUAAGUGCAUGAUCUUACAUAAUUGCUGUUUUUCUCAAGAAAGCAGACAGUGAGCCUCUUACAGGACUUCUCCAGGUGGGUCAAGAGUGUCCUAUGUCCGGUCUUUCCUGCCCGAGGUGGAAUCAGGAUGGAGAUGGAAUCAGGCGGCCCUGCUGAGAGCUGCCUCACUCAGAGGAAAGCUGACAAUCAAUCAUUAAAUCUCGAUGGACCUAAGCACAACCACCUUCCUCUGUCACCCUGCUGGAAUUCCCUUUUCCUGCCAGAAACAGCAACGGCCUCCUUGCCUAGGGGCACUGGGGCCAAGCAAGAGGGAGGGGACUUGGGGCAGCAGCUCAUUGUCCAGCCAUCCCAGUUGCCUGGGGCCCAGUGCUUCCAGAAGACCAGGGGAGGGAGGCCACAGUUCCCACUGCUCUGGAGGAGGUAUCCAGAUCACAACCCAGAGACUCAGAGCGGAGCAGGCAGGAGAGUCGUGAUCAAGAGAAGACUCCGCCGUGGCUCUUUCCCAGCUCUGCCCCACCAGGCGCCUAGGCUUCUGCCUCACGAACUUCCUGCCGGCCCUUAAGGCUGAGGCUACCAUCUCUCCUCGGCGUUGGAAGCGCAGCAACCACCCUCACCCACCCUGUUCGGACCUCUCCUCACAGUCCCCCAGCUCCAACCCCCCAGUCUGUGGUUUUCCGAAGCCGGCGUGAGCGGGUCUGGAUGGACACUGAAGAGACCUCAGCCUCGGGACUAGUUGAAUAUUUCUGAACAGGAUGGCACUUGCCCCUGGACAUCCUGCCUGGAGAGCCAGAGAACAUUUCCUGGCCUUACCGUGGUACCCAACUCUGCCCAAACCUCAAAAAUAAAAAUAAUGAUAAUAGUG